rnacentral:lncRNA from 1 species
GGGCAGAUGUGUCGAACUGUCGGGCCGAGGAAGGGCCCAAGCGCUGCCAUGUGUCGACAUCCGGAAAACCUUCGUUCGUUGCGCUUUCAUCCCGACCGUCGAAGGGCCUUAUAUAUAUGCAGCCACUUACAUCCAAAACUUCACUUUUGCUGUAAAUCUGUUCCUGACGCUGAGGCCUUGUCGAGUUGUCCCUCAGUUUUAGGUAGUUAUUUCCGUCCUCUUCCUUUGAAAGCUCUUCUCGAAAUUUUUUUCCGUUCCUGUCUCCUUGCAUCCUUUCUUCUUUGCCAUUUUCCUUCUUAUUCUCCUUUUCGGGGCUAGUGUCAUGGCUAGAACCUCUCCACGAGGAAGUCAGUCGGAAAACCCGACCGAUGAUUUUCGGUCGACCCCGGAGGUGGAGGUAUCUUCACUUUCGGAGGCAAAUGUCGAACGGCUCAAGGAGCAGUACGGUAUCCCGGAGCAGUUCG